GAAGAAAGUAACGGGGUUGACUAACAAGGAGACAAGAAAUCGAUUUAUAGGGGAUUUAGCAAAACUAAGAACCUUCACGUCUCUAUUGCCAAGAAGGAUAGGCAGUGAACUGCUCCCAACGAGACAAACCUGGUGUCAAAAUCUUUACAAAGUGGACAGGGCGCGCGCGAUGGUGGUGCGUCGCGCCUGUCUUAGCUCUGGGGCAACUGAAGCCUUUAAAAGGCUAUUUCGUGGAGAGAGAAAGUUUAUUUAUUUGGGUCAAGUUCUUUUGGGUUAGAAAGAAGAGAGAGUUUCUACACCAUUAAUGCAUCUUCAAGAUUAUUGAAGAAAAUCCCAAGGACACUUCAAGAACUCAAAUCUUGAAAAUUUUAGGGUUUGACAAAGAGAUUGUGACAUGUCGGCAUUAUCGGAUCAUUCGGGGUAAGGUUGGAAGCGAUUUGAGGGACUGGACCUGCGCAGCUUGGAUCGCGUGGAUAGGGCAGCUCUCUUUUUCCUGUUGAUACUUUUGGUGAGACUCCACCUUCGCACCCGUGGAGGACUUUAUUAUAUUAUCAUUCUUUUGAGCCACCGGUUUAUGCCUUGGUUGACUAUGUCAUUCCGUGUCAUAGAGAUUCCAUAGACAAUAGUAGUAUUCAUUUUGGGUUGUAAUCCUAUGGUUACUCAUAUGGCAUGCACGAAUGAAACUUUCUUCUAACUUUUUGAAGUUUUCUUUCGAAGUAAAAUAAUUGCUUAAAGAUA